UAUUUCUGUCAAAACAACAAACGGUCAGUGGGAUUUUUCAAAAGUGGAAUACUGAAAAAUUACCUUUAAUGAUUGGCCAAGUUGUUGCUAAUCGACACCAACCCCAAUGUUGUAGUUUUUCUAAAUUCGUCAGUCAUAUUUAGUAAAAAUGAUAAUCAAAAAAGCAAAAUAUUGCAGCUUCACUUAUUUGGAAGAUGAUAAAAACGACACCAAGGAGGGAGAUUAAGAUAAAAAUCCCGCAAGAAAACAACUUUAUCCAAUCUUCUUAAAGAAUUGAAAAUUAAAGUACAUGGGGAUGAAAAGGAGAGUUAAACCACUGUUGUUACAGUAAAUAUCGUGUUUUGUGAUCACGCGAAUCAUCUUUCAUAUGUUGAAUUAUUGUCCGACAUGGUGGCAAAAAUUUCAGACAUCGCCACUGGCAGCAACUGUUACUGAGACUCUUCGGCGGAUAAGAUGACCAGCGGGGCAAAUAUUGGAGGAAGAUUUGGUUUUGAAUAAGUUGCCAAAAAUGUUUUCCAGUUAGGCCAAUGCCUUUAGCUUCUCAAACUAUUUUUUCGAGCUGCAGUAAAUUAGAAAAAGUGCUGCAAUACCCAAUUUUCAGGAAGCUAUGGUCACUUUUGAAACAGUUAAAAAGACAUCCCUUUCGGGAAUCCCAAAGAAAUGACACAGUAACUGGACUGGUUUUAAGAUAGUGGUAAAACUUCGACCAAGUGCGUCUUAAAAACAAGUGACUUGGAAAAAGGAGAAUCCUGAGGGUACAAGGAAGCUAAAUGUUAUAUGUUGCCAGUCUAUGUUCAGCGAUAGACACGGCAUUUACAUAUCCGACCAGGUCACCUUCAAUCCUGAUUUGAGUACGGACAUCACUUGGAACAAGCAACUAAUAAUCGACUUGUCAGAAUCAACCAGCAAACAUUAGAAGAAAUAAGCUGUUGUGAGGACUGCUGAAUUAGAGCUUCUUACUAGCGGCCAUUUUGCGAGUAGGCGGCCAGGAAUCAUGCGAAAAAGAGGCUUCUUGCAGUUUCUCGUGGUUGUCGGACUGCUCUAUUUAGAGACCGUUCAGGAGAUUGGAGCGGACAACAGCCUUGAAGAUACCGAGAAAGAAAAACCGGGUAAAGCAAAAUGCAAGCACAAGGAAGAGUCAGUAAUCUCUGGUUACAGCAUAGCAGUCGAAAGUUGCUUUAAGAUUGACCGUUCCAUAAAAUUGUUGAAGACCAAGUUGGUGUCCUCAGCCAUACAAUGUCAGCAUCAGUGCUAUGCCAGCAAAGAGUGCAUCUAUUUCGCUAUUAGGGAACAGCGAACGCCAAAAGGGGACUAUGAAUGCAAUGUAUAUAAAAAAGGCAAUGCACGCAGAAAUCAUUGCGACGAACUUGAGGGUUGGAGUUUUUACAGAAAGGAUGCCUACAACGAAAAAGGAAAAGAAAAAAACAGCAAGGGGAAGAAGGAGGUUCGAUAAAAUUAACCUUACUCAGUGACUUGAACCACAUUUUUUAACUCCAAGAUUAGAGAAAUGUUUUUAACUUGUUUGUUUAGACAGUAGAGUGUUUAGAAUUUUAGAGUGAUUUAAUUUUUUCGCAAUCAAUUUCUUGUUACUGAAACCACAUUUAAAAUGCACAAUUGAACACGGGCUUGUCCCGGAUUACAAAUUACCCGGCUUUGCUUCGGUCAAAUUGUACCGUAAGUGUUGGUACGGACCACACCACGUUUAUUUCUUGAUUCGAUCUGGAUAGUUACACUACCAAAAUCUAACCCUGGUUAGUUUAAUCCGUGUUGAACCCAGACUAGAAGGGCCGGUACACAAGUAACAUAAAGUCAGCCUGCAUAGAGAGAAUCAUUCAAAUAUCGAUGUGUCAAACGAAACAACCUUUGUUUCGAGGUGUCAAAGUAGGAUAUCCAUCGUACAAAGGAUAUCCAACUCUGAAGUCACUUAAAACUGCAAGCAACCGAUGCCACCUUCAAGGCUUCUAGUCUGACAGUGCGAAGGAUAGACGCUUAUAGGUACUAAGUUUAUUUACACUUUGCGGGGCUGUAAUUGGCUCAACAGCACGAAAGGCCAUGUGACUUGGCGCAAACUCUUAGGAAGACCUUGUUACCAGGUAUUACAAUUAUAUCGAGCUCUAGACAGACGGAGGAAUGAACUAAACUUGGCUGCGUAGUGUCUCAGUUCUAAACGAUCAAUAGACGAAGCAUGGGAUGAUGAAACAAAGGCGAAUAAACACGAAUUCUUAUAAGGCUUUUCGCUCGAUGAAACAUUCCAGGAUCUGCGAUUCAUAAAAAACAACUAACAGAGAUCACUGAGCACCGUAAAAGCUUCUGCAAAGCAAAAAUUGUAAACGCAAUUGUAUAAACCCAUAGAUAAGAACAUAAGUUAUAAAAGCAUGUGGGAAGUUGCGAUAAGGCCAAUUUGAUAAGGACAUUAUUUAUCACGUUAUCCAGGAAGGUUUCCUAUUCAAAUAAAAGAGGUUUUAAUUUCUAUUCAGCAGUGCAAUGUAAUAAAAAGUUAAUUUAUCCAGAAAACAAGGAUUGGAAUCCCAAAACGAUAACAUGCAAGAAAAGUGAAAAGAGAGCUUUGGAAGCAAAAAUUCUAUAACCUAAACCCUGCGAGUAACUUGAAAAUUAUCAUGGAACAAGAAUCUAUAAAGGACUGAAAAUGUAGGUUCAUACAGACAGGUAUCUAUUGUAAUACCGCCCAGUGUAAAAUAUGUACUAAAACGUAAGCGGUGAUCAGAUAACCGAAAUGUGAUGUGUCAGGUAUGCUCCUUAUUGCAAAAAGAAUCUCAACACUGGCUGUCUCUAGCUUGCGCCAAUACAAGCUAUUAUUUUAUGAGUAUUUAAAUGCGAAAUAGAGCAAAAUAUGACAUAGUGCGCUUUCUAUCAGAGCAGAUCUGACAGAGGAUUAUUCUAGGAACGUCUGCCCACAUCUUCGAACUAACUUUCGCAGAGUCUUCUCUAAGUGAGAACUAAGUCUUCUCUUGACACAAAUGUUCACAAAUGUGUUCUAAUUGGGGAAAUGAUGUUCUCUAUACCUUUAUUGGGCUUUUUCACAAGACAAAAACACCCAAAG